AUGUUCUCCGACAGCAGGACCUCGGCGCCCGGGGAGCAGAGGGGCUUCAAGCCGCACGCCCCCCACUUCAUCCCAUGGCUGCGUAACAGCCUGAAGCCGCAGCACAGCGGUGACCUGGGCUUCAGUGGACCGUACAAACCCAGCGCGGAGGCCCGCACCAGCGCGGCGCCCCUGGAGCGAGCAAAGGGGAUCGGACUCUUCUCCAUCCAGGCCAGGGGCCGGGCCAAGAAGGGAGACCUCCGGUGUAAUGGCGUGGGCGUGGGCGUGGGCGUGGGCGUGGGGAGGAUGCUGCCGGUGGUGCUGCGGGGGCAUCACAUGCUGCCAGGGAGCCUGGGCAAGCGCAGGGAGGACGGUGCUGCCCGGUGGAGUCAGCCUGCAGAACUGGACCCGGACCCCAGCCUGCAGACCGGCCAAGCGGAGGGUCCGGUCAGCGGCUCAGCCUCCACGCCGGACCAGCGCGGUUCUGCUAGGACCAGCCGCCUGAGCCUGCCUCAGUCCCAGCAGGACGGCACCGGCACCCACGCGAGGGCGUACGGGCCCCUGGCGGGCCCCUGCCUCGCUCCGCUUCCUGCGCUGUUCUGCGAGGAGCCCAAGUGUGAGCUGCCCGUAGUGGUGUGCGUGGAGGACGGGAGGGGGAAGGUGUGGGACUGCAGCGGCCGCGCCACCUACGGACCGAGAGGCCUCCACUCGUCCGCGUGGCUCAGCUCAGACUCCCGGGGACUAAUCGAGCGGCAGCGGGGGCUCGGCUCCAGCUUUGACUACAUGAAACAACAGAGCCAGCGAGCGCUGACGGCGCCGAGGGAGCCACCUGUGGAGGGCGUGAACGGAGCCCUCGUCUCCACAGAGGACCCCCACAGAGACUACACGACCCUGCGAGGGCCCAGGGCAGCCCGGCCCGGUUCAGAGCGCGUCGCCGUCCUGGGCCAGAACCAAACGUGGCUCCAGCACCGGCCCAGGAGCGAUGGGGAGUCGCAGAGGAGGAAGGACGGCGGCUGCAGCAUGAAGGUGGUCCGCAACCAGAUCAAGUGCGUGGUGGACAACCUGGAGCAGGUCCUGACGGCGCUGAGGGACGUGCAGCAGGAAAUGAAGGAGGUGGUGGGGCAGAUUGACUACCUGACGUCAUCCAUCGAUCUGAACGAGGAGGAGUGGGCGACCAUGGAUGACGGCGACAGCAGCUCCUGCUCGGGCUCCAGCUCCGGCUCCAGCUCCAGCAGGGUGACGGUGGGCAGCGCCCCCCACGUGCCCCCGGAGCCCCCGCGCUCACCCGCCACCACCAGGAGGGAUCAUCCCCUAUCAUCCCACCCCUCAGAGAGGAGCCGGGCUCUCCAGGUCACCUGUAGGUCCGGCUCUGCCUCUAGGCAAGGUGGACCGCACCACAACAAUCUCCCUUUAUUCAACCCCAUUCAACUUCAGAGCCUCGCCCCCCAUGACUGCACUUUGUCUGGACAAAGACUCCCCCCCGGUCGACCUCCCACUCCGGGUCUCUCCCCUCUAACGGUGAACCUCCAUCCGCCCAGCAGCCCUGGUUCUCAGCCUCGCUCCCCUGUGGCGUCCCCCUCCAUCAGGGUCAGCCCCGCUUCCUCUCCCCCCCGUCUGUCCACAAAGCCCCACCCGCCUCCCGUCCUUAGCCCUUCUGUCAUCAUAGAGACCAAAGCUGGGUUUUACCAGACCCCCCAGCGCGACCACCCAUCUGCCGGGCCACUCUCUCCAUCCUCGGCGCCGUCUGCCGGCCGCCCACCCGCCGGCGCCGACGCUCCGACCGCGCCCGACACCGACGCUCACGGAGCUCCACAACGGGCGCCCGCGGCACCGCCCGCCUCGCAGGGCCGCCGAGGUCGCAAGCCGCCGCCGUACCCCCACCACCGACUGCUGGAGCCCGCGAAGAAAGCACAGGAGCCCCGCGAAGCCCCUCCGUACCCAGAGAAGAGAAGGCUGCUCUCAACCACGGUGUGA
rnacentral:lncRNA from 1 species